AGAGUUGAUUCUGGCUCAGGAUGAACGCUGGCGGCGUGCUUAACACAUGCAAGUCGAACGGAGCUAGAAGGAAGCUGCUUCAUUAAGCUUAGUGGCGGACGGGUGAGUAACGCGUGAGCAACCUGCCCUCGAGUGGGAAUAACAUCGAGAAAUCGGUGCUAAUACCGCAUAAUGUCGAGAGACCGCAUGAUCUUUCGACCAAAGGAUUUAUUCGCUUGAGGAUGGGCUCGCGUCCGAUUAGCUAGUUGGUGAGGUAACGGCCCACCAAGGCUUCGAUCGGUAGCCGAACUGAGAGGUUGAUCGGCCACAUUGGGACUGAGACACGGCCCAGACUCCUACGGGAGGCAGCAGUGGGGAAUAUUGGGCAAUGGGCGAAAAAGCCUGACCCAGCAACGCCGCGUGAAGGAUGAAGGUCUUCGGAUUGUAAACUUCUUUGAUUGGGGAAGAAUAAAAUGACCUACCCAAAGAACAAGCCACGGCUAACUACGUGCCAGCCGCCGC
rnacentral:rRNA from 1 species